CGUAUACCAUAUUAAGAAAAGCAAAAACAAAAAAGAAAAAGGAAGCCACGUGCAUCCGGACCUCCACGGGCUCCACUCACCUCCAUCUUCAUCCCCAACAAAAUCCUAGAUCUAAUCUCCAUGUCAUUGAUCUCUCUAUUUCUCUUGUAUUGUUAUUUUUCAGCUCCGAUGUCCACCUCUUCUUCUAUUUUAUAUGCGAUCAAUAUUCUUUCGAGCCAUUUUCUUCAUCUAAUCCCAAAUGGAUCUAUCAAAAUUAUAGGCCAACUCUCAUCUACUGAUGUUCUCAGAUCUAUAUUGUAUCGCUAGCUUCUUUUUAAAUUUUUUCUAAAUUUUUCAUAUGUUGUUAUUCUUCCCUCCAGAUCUCCUGGUAGUGUUGCUCAAGUGCCAAUCUG
rnacentral:lncRNA from 1 species